UUGACCUCGAAUCAGGUAGGAAUACCCGCUGAACUUAAGCAUAUCAAUAAGCGGAGGAAAAGAAACCAACCGGGAUACCG
rnacentral:rRNA from 1 species